rnacentral:rRNA from 1 species
GACGAACGCUGGCGGCGUGCUUAACACAUGCAAGUCGAACGGAAAGGCCCUGCUUUUGUGGGGUGCUCGAGUGGCGAACGGGUGAGUAACACGUGAGUAACCUGCCCUUGACUUUGGGAUAACUUCAGGAAACUGGGGCUAAUACCGGAUAGGAGCUCCUGCUGCAUGGUGGGGGUUGGAAAGUUUCGGCGGUUGGGGAUGGACUCGCGGCUUAUCAGCUUGUUGGUGGGGUAGUGGCUUACCAAGGCUUUGACGGGUAGCCGGCCUGAGAGGGUGACCGGCCACAUUGGGACUGAGAUACGGCCCAGACUCCUACGGGAGGCAGCAGUGGGGAAUAUUGCACAAUGGGCGGAAGCCUGAUGCAGCAACGCCGCGUGCGGGAUGACGGCCUUCGGGUUGUAAACCGCUUUCGCCUGUGACGAAGCGUGGGUGACGGUAAUGGGUAAAGAAGCACCGGCUAACUACUUG